GAUCAAGUGAAAUAAGGGCAAUUGGUGGAUGCCU
rnacentral:rRNA from 2 species